rnacentral:rRNA from 1 species
UCGAGAAUUUUUCACAAUGGGCGAAAGCCUGAUGGAGCGACGCCGCGUGGGGGAUGAAUGGCUUCGGCCCGUAAACCCCUGCCAUUUGCGAACAAAUUUUGUCGGUUAACAACCGGCAAGCUGAUUGUAGCGAAAGAGGAAGGGACGGCUAACUCUGUGCCAGCAGCCGCGGUAAUACAGAGGUCCCAAGCGUUGUUCGGAUUCACUGGGCGUAAAGGGUGCGUAGGUGGUGAGGUAAGUCGGAUGUGAAAUCUCCAGGCUCAACCUGGAAACUGCAUUGGAAACUACCUUGCCUGAGGGUUUGAGGGGGGAUUGGAAUACUUGGUGUAGCAGUGAAAUGCGUAGAUAUCAAGUGGAACACCAGUGGCGAAGGCGAAUCCCUGGAAAAUACCUGACACUGAGGCACGAAAGCUAGGGGAGCAAA